rnacentral:misc_RNA from 1 species
AAAUAGUCCACCUGUUGGAUUUCCCGCUUCGUCCACGAGUCCUGAUGUGCGACCCAACCAGAAAGCUGAAACAAUAGAAACACUAAUAACAAGAACAGGAAGUGCUGUUGAUUCUAGGCCCAAACUGACUCCAGCAAUUAUGUUUGUCCCAUGGCCUGUGGAGCUAGAAAGUGCUAAUGAACGCACGGGCUCAUGCUUGUAGUCAGUGUAGUAUUUUGUGAUCCAGACAAAAAUGUAAGCCGUUAUAAUACCAACCAAGCCACACAAGGCAAAGUUGAACCAUGCAGAAGGUGCUUGUUCAGUAUGAAGCAACCACCGGGUAGACACGCCAAA